CCCAACAUAGAUGAAGUUCUUGGCUCCCCACAAGGAAAAACCCUACAGAAAUCAGGACUGUCACCCUGAAUCGGGAGGCUCCUGGCACUUUGCCCUUCUGCUUGUUGACAUCCCCUGAAGGAGGAGUUCUCAGGACACAUCAGGUGAAUUCUAGCCAUAACAUCAGGCUCCAAAGAGUUUUCUAGCUAAUAAUGUCCACUAUUGAAGACGUUUCGUUCUUGUCUAUUUGCUGGAUGCCUGGGUUAGCAGAAGCUUGUCUAAGGAGUCACUGCCUGUGUUGAAGUGGGCUCUGCAGUGAAAUAGCUGUUGGGAAGUUACCCAAGCUCCUGUAAGUAACCUCACACUGGACUCCUUAGCAACCCCGAAGGAAGCUCAGUAGAUCCUCAAGUUGAAUGUCUGCACAGUUG
rnacentral:lncRNA from 1 species